rnacentral:rRNA from 1 species
UUNAAUGNUUGGGGCCAANUUNNAAGGGAAAAUCGGCCGGGGGGAACCAAAACCGGAAGGGAAGUUGGGGAUGAAGUUCAGUUAUCNUGGGCCCUUAACGGGCCUNGGGGCUAACAACACGUGGUACAAUUGGUCGGUACAAAAGGGUUGCCAAGCCGCGAGGUGGAGCUAAUCCCAUAAAACCGAUCGUAGUCCGGAUCGCAGUCUGCAACUCGACUGCGUGAAGUCGGAAUCGCUAGUAAUCGUGAAUCAGAAUGUCACGGUGAAUACGUUCCCGGGCCUUGUACACACCGCCCGUGAAUCACUAGUGAAUUCGCG